rnacentral:snRNA from 1 species
AACACUAACAAAACUAUUGAC